rnacentral:lncRNA from 1 species
CUUGAACCCGGGAGGCAGAGGUUGCAGUGAGCCAAGACUGCGCCACUGCACUCCAGCCUGGGCAACAGAGUGAGACUCCAUCUCAAAAAAAAAAGAAAAAAGAAAGAAAAUCACAUAUAUGAUCAAGUAUUUACAUCUAGAAAAUAUAAAGGACUCUCAACACUCAAUAAUAAGAAAACAAACAACCCAGUGAAAACACUUGGGCAAAGUUGAACAAAUGCCUUACCAAACAGGAUACACAGACAGCAAAUCAGCAUGUGAAAAGAUGCUCAACAUCUUUGAUGCUGUUUUAAUUAGCAUACCUAAUUAAAACUAUAAUGAGAGCCUGGGCAAAUGGCAAAACCCCAUCUCUACAAAAAAAUACAAAAAUUAGCUGGGCAUGGUGGCACACGCUGUAGUCCCAGCUACUCAGGAGGCUGAGGUAGGAUUGUUUGAGCCUAGGAGGUCAAGGCUGCAGUGAGCAGAGAUUGUGGCACUGCACUCUGGCCUAGGGGACAGAGUGAGACCCCCAUCUCCAAAAAAAAAAAAAAAAAAAAGCCUAUAAUGACAUGUCACUAUAUACUAAAUUAAAAGAAUUGAUCAUUCAUAGUGUUGGUGAUAUGUGAACAAGUGUUGGCAGAAGGUUUCUUUAGGAGUCAUUCCAUGACUAGAUAUUUAUUUAUCCAAGAGAAAUUAAAACAUAUGUCCAAACAAAACUUGUACAUAAAUGUUCAUAUCACCUUUCUUUAUAAUAACUAAAAAUCUAGUGAAUGAGAAAAAAAUAUUUUCAGCCCACGAAAGUUUGUAGUUAGGCCAGGUGCAGUGGCUCACGCCUAUGAUCCCCACACUUUGAGAGGCCAAGGCGGGCAGAACACUUGAGACCAGGAGUUCGAGACCAGCCUGGCCAACAUAGUGAAACCCCAUCUCUACUAAAAAUACAAAAAUUAGCCAGGCAUGGUAGCAUGCACCUGUAAUCCCAGCUAUUCAGGAGGCUGAGGUGGGACAAUCACUUGAACCCGGGAAGUGGAGGUUGCAGUGAGCUCCGGUCACGCCACUGCUCUCCAGCCUGGGCAACAGAGCAAGACUCCGUAUCAAAAAAAAAAAAAAAAAAAAA